UGGGACAGGAACCUCAAAGUGUCACUGGU
rnacentral:piRNA from 1 species